rnacentral:rRNA from 1 species
UACGAGAGCCCCGAGCGUUAUCCGGAAUUAUUGGGCGUAAAGGGUGCGUAGGUUGCGUUGUUAGUCGUCCGUUAAAUCCUAGAGCUUAACUCUAGAACCGCGAACGAAACGGCAAUGCUCGAGAAUGUGAUAGGUGUGCGGAACUCAUGGUGUAGGGGUGAAAUCCGUUGAUAUCAUGGGGAACACCAAAAGCGAAGGCAGCACACUGGCACAUAUCUGACACUGAAGCACGAAAGCGUGGGUAGCGAAUGGG